CUCGGAGGCGGCGCCGGGAUCCCGGUGUUCCAGAGCGCCGUCUCCCUUUCCCCUCCUUCCCUCGGGGCCCCUGAGGUGUUCGCUUUGCGCUGUGCCCAAAAUCCCGGCUGGGACUGAGGGCAUUCCUCACCCGCCCUGGUUUUUCUGCCUCCGAACAGCGGCAGAGCCCCAGCUGUGCUUGGCACUAAACCAGACCCCAAACUUGUUCUUUGCCUGCACCUCGCUGUACUCUGGUUAAUAUUUGUUUUUUCUGAUACACUUCAGUAAUCUGGGAGAGACUUAGGCAGGUAAACAGAUGAAAUAUUUUCGUUAACUGAGUUAAUACUAACAUCUGCCGAAGAAAGAAGUAGCCUCUCAGGAGAGAGGAAUGCUUCAAAAGUUAUAAAAGUUGCACAGCGGACACAGACCCCUGUCUUUGAGUUGAACCUUGAGGCUAUACAUUGAUUUUCCUGUUGAUAACCUGAAGCUCGUUUUCCUGCAAUACAGGGUAUGCUGUUCCUCCACCGACAUCACAGCCGAACUAUUCGAGCACGUACACCAUCAUUCAACAGCCUGCCACCACCACUUCUGUAGUAGUAGUUGGUGGCUGCCCUGCCUGCAGGUCCCCAGGAGCAGCCUCGUGUGUGGCUGUGCAAUGAUGUAACUGAUGGAGUAACCUAAAGACCGUCAAGAGGAUUUCUGCCAUCAGAAAUACAAAGCAGUCUGUUGCACUGUGACAUGUAUUCAUGUGGCUGAUUGAAAUCAAAACCAUUUCCAACUUAAUAUAUUAUGGUGUUGAGGAGAAAUACACAGUAUUGGUCUGUUAUUUGAAUUGGUGUCUAUUUUACUGCAGUCAUGAGUGAUCUUGGGGUUGAUAAGCUGGUUCAAGUACAUUUUUAAAUGGUUUUUAGUAGUAAAAAGUACAAAGUAUGUCCAGAAGGAGCCUCUCUGAAGUUGGUCAUGUGCCUGUGGUGGCUAUAGUUGCAUUCCUGCCCUUCUCCCUCUGAAGCUCUGCUGCCAUCUGAGGGAUGAGGCUCCUGUGUCACAAGCUGUGCCUCUUGCUCAGAGCUCAUUCAUCACUGGGCAGUGCUGCUUUCUAGUCACAGACUCCAGGGUUGGUGUGUGCUCCACCCUUCCCUGCACUCUCAGAAUGUCCUUGGUGGCUCUAGUCCUGUUGUCUCUGUGUGUGUUCUUCUCCCAGCCCUGAUGUACAGAGAAUUAAAGAGAGUUUCACAAUCUUGUCAGCUUUAUGGCUUCUAGUUGACAUUUAAGGUUUGGCCAAGUCCUGCUUUUAAGCUAUUUUAUGUUCCCAAGUACAUAUUGAGUCAUUACAGGCACUUACUUUAGAUACCCUGCUGUGGAAUUAUCUUUUAGCUUGGACUAUGCAGCCUGGCUGAUUUACUUGUGGUCACUUUCAUUUUCUUUUUUCUCUGUCUUUUGUUGUUUGCAAUAACUAACUGCUCAGGAAUGUUUGCUUUCCUGUUAUUUAACAGAAGAAAGUUCUUUU